CGGGGCGUAGCGCAGUCUGGUAGCGCACCUGCCUUGGGCCCAGGGGGUCCCGAGUUCGAAUCCCGCCGCCCCGACCA
rnacentral:tRNA from 1 species